rnacentral:rRNA from 1 species
UACGUAGGGUGCGAGCGUUAAUCGGAAUUACUGGGCGUAAAGCGUGCGCAGGCGGCUUCGCAAGACAGAUGUGAAAUCCCCGGGCUCAACCUGGGAACUGCAUUUGUGACUGUAUAGCUAGAGUACGGUAGAGGGGGAUGGAAUUCCGCGUGUAGCAGUGAAAUGCGUAGAUAUGCGGAGGAACACCGAUGGCGAAGGCAAUCCCCUGGACCUGUACUGACGCUCAUGCACGAAAGCGUGGGGAGCAAACAGG